rnacentral:SRP_RNA from 1 species
GUUGGGUAGGCGGGGGCUAGGGGUCCCCUAUCCGCAAAUAUCCCCUUAGCGGGCCACAUGGGGAGGUGUGAUAGAGCCCUCAUGAUAGUUGCUGUAGGGCAGAUGAGUCGGCACCUCCACAAUAACCAUCUACACUGAAACGGGUCAGGCCGAAAGGAGCAUCCCUAAGGUGUAGGUGGUUGUUUGUGGAGAUUGCUAAGAUGAUGUCUAAGGUAACAAUUCAUGAGCAAGCUUUAUCGCUCCCUCCCCUCCCAAC